rnacentral:rRNA from 1 species
CCUACGCGGAGUGCUGCAGUUAGGAAUAUUGGACAAUGGGGGAAACCCUGAUCCAGCCAUGCCGCGUGUGUGAAGAAGGCCUUAGGGUUGUAAAGCACUUUCGUCUGUGAAGCAGUAGCAGAAGAAGAAGCUCCGGCUAAAUUCGUGCCAGCAGCCGCGGUAAUACGAAUGGAGCGAGCGUUGUUCGGAAUCACUGGGCGUAACGCGUGCGCAGGCGGUUUUGAAAGUUAGAAGUGAAAGCCCAGGGCUUAACCUUGGAAUUGCUUUUAAAACUUCAAGACUAGAGUACUGGAGGGGUUGGCGGAAUUUCGAGUGUAGCAGUGAAAUGCGUAGAUAUUCGAAGGAACACCGAUGGCGUAGGCAGCCAACUGAAGUUACUGACGCUCAUGCACGUAAGCGUGGGGAUCAAACAGGAUUAGAUACCCCAGUAGUC